GGGGAAAUAGGAUAAUGGUUAGUCAUUCGUGUUUGCAACACGAAGGUAGGAGUUCGAAUCUCCUUUUCUCCA